rnacentral:rRNA from 1 species
GUGGGGAAUAUUGCGCAAUGGGCGAAAGCCUGACGCAGCAACGCCGCGUGAGGGAUGACGGCUUUCGGGUUGUAAACCUCUUUCAGUGAUGACGAAAAUGACGGUAGUCACAGAAGAAGGUCCGGCCAACUACGUGCCAGCAGCCGCGGUAACACGUAGGGACCAAGCGUUGUCCGGAUUUAUUGGGCGUAAAGAGCUCGUAGGCGGUUUCGUAAGUCGGAUGUGAAAACUCAGGGCUCAACCCUGAGACGCCAUCUGAUACUGCGAUGACUAGAGUCCGGUAGGGGAGCAUGGAAUUCCUGGUGUAGCGGUGGAAUGCGCAGAUAUCAGGAGGAACACCAGUGGCGAAGGCGGUGCUCUGGGCCGGUACUGACGCUGAGGAGCGAAAGCAUGGGGAGCAAACAGG